CGAAACAUAGUUUAAAAGAACAAUUCACCUACAAUGAAAAAGAACUGCAAUACAACAGUUGAUUCGA
rnacentral:tRNA from 2 species